CAAGGGCCAGGCAGCAACGAAACAUCUGUCCGAUGCAUGCAAGCCACUGAAGAAGCGGAAUCGGGCAUCCACAGCAGCGUCGUCCACUCUUGGGUUUAGCAAAAGCUCAUCUCCUUCUGCAUCUUUAACUGAGAAUGAGUAGAGCAAAUUCUUACUUUCUCGCCUUCACUGGUAACAGCUUUUAUGGGAGCCCACAUCAGUCACGCUGGACUUGAGCUCAGCUGCCCUGCACCGCGCUUAGCGUGGUGGGAUGCUCCGCGAGGCCCGUCGCGGCGGCGCAAUGGCACACCGAUGACGGCGCCGUCGCGGCCGCUCUGUGGAGGACACGCGUAGUCUGUUUGCACUGCUAUUAAUAGACACACACAAUGGAGAAAACAUAACAAAUUUUAAGACCAAGGUAAGAUACCUAAACAAGGCCAUUUAACCAGCCACAUCCAUCUCAUAAUAGAAACACAUUCAUAUUCCAGUGCUCAGUGUAGACUCAUGUCGGAAGGACGCCCUUCAGCUGGGGGCUGUCCCGGACCUGCGACAGUGCCACACCAAGGGCUUCGUCCUCCUCUGGCUCGUAACUUACUGAGAUGCCACCUUCUGCACCUCCAGAAACAAAGAGCAAGUGGCACAUUAAUGGAGGCUCGCCAGCAACGCUCACUGCCGGGAUGUCUUCAGUGCUAUAGACAGGAGACCAAUUUCCAACACAAAAGGCAGGAAGAGUCUGGAUUCUGUCUUUUUUACUAAGCAGUUUUACUAUGACACUAGCUAUGGUAACUUUGUAGGGCAAAUCCCAUUUAUGAGACCAUUGUGAGCAUUUAAUUCUUGACUCUGACCUGUGCUGGGGACACCGUAGUUGGUUAUCUACACCAACUGCCUCAUCAGUUGCGUUUGUAGGACAUCAGCCAUCGUAUUCAGUGUCUCAAUCUUGGGUCCUACCUGGCACCGUGCCCCAGGUCCAUAUGUCUGCGCGGUGAGGAGAGGCCUUGUGCACCCUCCUGACCUUGGGGGCAGAGGCAGGCGCUGGUCACCUUACCUGCGGGCAGUGCUCGGCUCCUUCCCAGCAGAUGCUUCAGAUGUGUUUUACCUUUAAUGGAAGUUUAUGACUAGUACUUGUGUUCUAAACCAUGAAGUAUGUGACGCAUGUAAAACACUUAGGUGCCUGGCGCCUUGCAAGGACUCGGUGGUUCGCUGUUGUGACAGUAAUGGUUAUAACAAUAAAAGUAAUAAAAUCA